rnacentral:lncRNA from 1 species
GUCCCUGCACCUAGUUGGAGGGGACUGAACGACAACGGGGCGCUACUCAGGCAACCUGGGGGACUCCCCCAAGGGCUGUCAGGCUUCAGCUGGGAGCCGAUGCAACACCCCAGCGGGGAGGGGAGGUCGGCCCAUUCUAAUCCCGACGUGUCCUUGGUCCCAGGCGCUCGGAGCAGCAUCUGAGAGGGCUCACUCUGAUCAUCAGCUGCACGUUAAGCCACAAACCGGCGUCGCUUCGGCGUUCCGGAACCCAGGCCUGGGGGCCGCGGGGAUUGCCUCUGCGUGCAACUCCGGAAAGUUUCAAGGGGUCCCCCGACUGCACAGGUCCGGAAAUCGGCUUUGAUAUGGAACUACUCCGCUCUAGCCUGGAAAGGAGACCCGCGCACUCCUCUCGCAGCUAAUUUCGGAUCAUUAAUUUAAUCGGAAAUGAGGUAACCAGUGUAGGAGACAGAGAAAGCAACCGGAGCAUCAAAUGGCAGUUCUCGAGAAUCGACGAGGAACUUAAAUCUGGACUCAGGGUUUCAGUGCGGUCUCCGACUCCCACCACCCCGCCCCUCCGCCUGUCUCGCCGCCAGGUGUGACCUCCACGCGAAGGAAUCUUCUUCGGAUGGGUGCACCUUGCCAACAGGUGUGGCACCUGGAGGACUAGGAGGCGCCUCCAGACUAAGGGCGCUCAGUGCGGCGUUCUUGUUGCAGAUGAUUCUGGAAGGCCGCCUCUAGUGGACAGUUAACAUCAGUUUCCUGAAAAGGCUCUGACUGGUUUUGUUUUCGUUGACAAGCUUUGUCAAGGUGAAGGUUAGUACGUAAGAGCAUAACCGGGUAAAAUGUCCCCUCACCCCUAUCCUCACCCCCGCCCCCAACACCCUGCUUGGCAAAGACGACUUCAGAAAGGAGCAGAAGCUUGUUGGCUUUAUAUAGAAAAGACGUAUGCUUUGUGCUGCAGGUAUUAUUAUUACUGGACUGUGAAUAAACAGAAAGCUUCUGCUAUUCAUUUCAGUUUCAGACAGCUUUCAUAAAAACUAAAUUCAUCUCAAAUAUUUUUAUAACAGAAAAUAUUGGUUGCCAUGUUUUUGGCUUAACUGCGAUGUUUUUAUUCCAACUCAUAAUCUGCAAACUGUCCAAUCCACCUCCACUCUAUUUUUAGACAUCUUACAUUUAGAUAAUUUUCAGUUAAAAAAAAGCUAAUAUUGUAAUUUUACGUUGGCACAAGCAGUUAAUUUACGUGAUUUUAACAACCUUAAAUUAAAACACAUAAUUCAGAUUACAGUUAGUCAAUUAAUUUAAAUGUUCUCUCAAGGAAGCUAAAUAUGUAUAUUACCCAAAUGGUAAAAACAAUUAAUAAGAAAUGUGUCAUUUACUUUCUUAGCCAUUAAGUUUAAAGCCAUAAACUGCCACCAAAAUCUGUAACUAUUUCUUCCUGCAAGAUCCAACAUAAACACCAUACUCAUGAAACUGUCUCAUUACCUUUAGUACUGAAAUAUUUUGUUUUCAGAUGGCAAAAUAUUAAGUGUACAAUCACAAAUAACAGGCACUGAUUCUUUAGAAACAAGACUUUCUCGUGCAAAUAAAAACUCAAUGAAAAAGGGCAGAGCUUCCAAGAAGCUAGUAGACAAAUAUAUAGUACUAUAGUCCUACUCAUAAGGCUGGUGUUAUGUUUGUAAAAGCAUAAGUCAACCUUUGAAAUUACAGGAAAUCGAUAAAUAAGGCCUGAUGAGCUUGACUCGUAUCCUGUGUCAUAGAUUGCUUAAAUACCAUGAAAAAUAAUUGUAAUCACAUAUCUAUUUUACUGUUUUGGUGGUAUCUACUCUUGAAGGUGUUAAAUGGGCCAGCAAGUAUAUAUUAUAUAAUUACAUAUUACACCCUUACUUAAAGUGUAGUUUUCAAAGUCGCCACAGCAGCACUUGGGAGCUUUUUAGACAUUCAGAGUCAAGGGUUCUACCCCAGACAUACCAAAUCAGAAUCUGCCUUUGAACCAGGCCCCUGGGUGAUUUCUAAACACAUUAUCAUGUGAAGAACACUGGUCUAUACCACAGGGAUCAACCUAAAUAAAUUUGGGCACAAGUGCAGAAGUUAAUUCCUCUAUUUAUUUCUUUUUUGCUCCUUUUUAGUAAGUACAGCCCUUAUUAAUUUGUGCUUUUCAAUGAAAAAUUAUUAUGUUAUAUGCUUUGGAUAAAUACUACUGCACUGUAAGUGCACACAUCUGCAUCAUUAUUGCCAAAAAAGAAUGCUCUGCUGAGGAAUGUACUGGGGUCUUGAACAUGAACAUUUUCUUCAUGGCAGCAGAGGGAGCACAAGAGUGCUUAAUAAAACCAGUGCACAGGUCUCUCCAAAUCAUGACAGAUUUUACAUUGUAGUAUAUGUUUUCAUUGGAAGUAGCCUGUUAUGUAGUUCAAAAUGAAGCAAAUCAACUGAGCAAACACAGAUAGGCUUACCAGGUCAUAACAACUAUGUAACUGAACAGAUUGAAAGUUGAAUAAAAUAAAGAUAAACUUCUUUAGAGUUUUAGGCUUGAAUUCUUAAAAGAAAGUGGACCUCAAAAGUGAAAAAGAUGCCUUAGCUUUGCUCAAAAACAAAGAUAACACAACACAGAAUCAGGCAACCCUAAGAUGCCUUAGCUUUACUCAAAAACAAAGAUAACACAGAAUCAGGCAACCCUAAUAGUAGCUCCUGUUUAUCUAAAAACAGAGUCAGUUCACUGGACCCUACAUCAGGUAACUUAAUUUCAUUUGGUGUCAUACAUGUUGGUUAAGGUCCAUGCGCCUUUUGCUGUGUUUACACUCAGAAUAAUUUUAGGGGUUUCUCCUUAAUGCUUGCAGUGGUGAGGAUUUAGGUUUCAGUUAUACCUACGUAGUAUUUCAUACUUUUCACUACUCUUCCAUAUUGCAUCCUCAAAAACUCCCUUGAAGCAGAUAACAUACUUGGUAAAAGCCAAGUAUCCAAAAAGUUAUGGAACCACAUCGUGCUUUCAUAACAUUGAGUCAUUUAAUUGUUUCAGUAGUGCUUUGAGGUAUUCAUAAAUGAGGGAAAUUAUACAGACUAAAGAUCCAGAGCAUUUUUUACAGUUUUAAAGGUUUUUCAAAGUUAUUCUUAGAUAAUAUGUUUAUAUAUUUAUUAUUUAUUUACAAGCAGUCACUUACUCUGCAUCUACAAUAACUAAGACUUGAGAAUAUAAAAUUGAGUAAGACAUCUUAGUGUGCAAGGAGAUCAGAGCAGAACAGAUCUUACCUUUGGAAAACUGUUAAUUUUUACCACGUUGAAACACAAAGAUUCAUAGUUGAUGCGAUCCAGCACCUGCCAGAAUCAUAGCAAUCAGACUUCCAAAUAUGAGAAUCAAACAUUAGAAUCAUUAAAAAUUUGAGAGGCGGGGGGGACAGUUGUACAACUCUUGAGCAAAAGUUGACUUAUAAGCUAAUAUUAAUAUUUCAAAUUUGUACGACAAACAAAUGUGAAGAUAUAAUGUGUAUUUUAUUUGAAUGUCUUCCCUAUCACAAAAUCACAUGAGUAAGUUGAGUUGGUAAACAUUUAUUUAUUUUUAUCUUUUCUAAAAUGCUGAAAAGAAUUUUUCUCCCACACUAAAGAGGGUUUGCCAAGUUUCUGCCUGGAGCAAUUUGUUAUGGCUGUGUAAUAAAUCCCAGAAAGUUUGAAUUUUUAAUGGAAACACUGACAGAAUAAAGAGGGUGUAAUCCUACAUAUGUCAUUUAAAAAUCUGAGCAAACCAUAGUGUGCUUGCAAAACAAAUAUACUUUCCUUAGAUUGCACUCACAAAUAAGGCUGGGGAGACCACAAAAGUAAAACAAACUCAAAAGUGAAAAACACUCACACAAUAGACUCUGAGGUCAGCUCACCACACCCAGACUAAAGUCACUGGGCUCUGUGCGUGUCACCAAGACUCUUAAAAGACAUACUUCUGAAUCAUCUUUCUUGACCCUCCACCAAACUGUAGCAAGACAGGCUUCCUGGGAAUGAAAAUGACAUUAGCAUUAGUCAAGAGUGAAAUUAAAGUCAUUGUACUCAAACAUCUGCCAACAGUCUGUGAUUUCAUAGUACCCACCUCUGAAAUAAGACUCUGUCUACAAUUAAAAACAAAGAAAAAAAGGUACUUUAGGUCU